rnacentral:rRNA from 1 species
GACGAACGCUGGCGGCGUGCCUAAUACAUGCAAGUUGAGCGCUGAAGGUUGGUACUUGUACCGACUGGAUGAGCAGCGAACGGGUGAGUAACGCGUGGGGAAUCCGCCUUUGAGCGGGGGACAACAUUUGGAAACGAAUGCUAAUACCGCAUAAAAACUUUAAACACAAGUUUUAAGUUUGAAAGAUGCAAUUGCAUCACUCAAAGAUGAUCCCGCGUUGUAUUAGCUAGUUGGUGAGGUAAAGGCUCACCAAGGCGAUGAUACAUAGCCGACCUGAGAGGGUGAUCGGCCACAUUGGGACUGAGACACGGCCCAAACGCCUACGGGAGGCAGCAGUAGGGAAUCUUCAGCAAUGGACGAAAGUCUGACCGAGCAACGCCGCGUGAGUGAAGAAGGUUUUCGGAUCGUAAGACUCUGUUGGUAGAGAAGAACGUUGGUGAGAGUGGAAAGCUCAUCAAGUGACGGUAACUACCCAGAAAGGGACGGCUAACUACGUGCCAGCCGCCGCCGUAA